rnacentral:rRNA from 1 species
AUUGAACGCUGGCGGCAGGCCUAACACAUGCAAGUCGAACGAGUGGCGGACGGGUGAGUAAUGUCUGGGAAACUGCCAGAUGGAGGGGGAUAACUACUGGAAACGGUAGCUAAUACCGCAUACCAUCAGAUGUGCCCAGAUGGGAUUAGCUAGUUGGUGGGGUAACGGCUCACCAAGGCGACGAACCCUAGCUGGUCUGAGAGGCGGACCAGCCACACUGGGACUGAAACACGGUCCAGACUCCUACGGGAGGCAGCAGUGGGGAAUAUUGCACAAUGGGCGCAAGCCUGAUGCAGCCAUGCCGCGUGUAUGAAGAAGGCCUUCGGGUUAUAAAGUACUUUCGGCGGGGAGGCGUUACCCGCAGAAGAAGCACCGACUAACUCCGUGCCAGCAGCCGCGGUAAUUC